ensembl:miRNA microRNA 302d
ACUCCGACAUGGGGCACUUGCUGCGGCGUGACUCAAAUAAGUGCUUCCAUGUUUGAGCGCGG